UACGUAGGGUGCGAGCGUUAAUCGGAAUUACUGGGCGUAAAGCGUGCGCAGGCGGUUUUGUAAGCCAGAUGUGAAAUCCCCGGGCUUAACCUGGGAAUGGCCUUUGUGACUGCACGGCUAGAGUGUGUCAGAGGGGGGUAGAAUUCCACGUGUAGCAGUGAAAUGCGUAGAGAUGUGGAGGAAUACCGAUGGCGAAGGCAGCCCCCUGGGAUAACACUGACGCUCAUGCACGAAAGCGUGGGGAGCAAACAGG
rnacentral:rRNA from 1 species